rnacentral:rRNA from 1 species
AAGGAAGCUUGCUUCUUUCGAAUCUAGUGGCAAACGGGUGAGUAACACGUAAACAACCUGCCUUCAGGAUGGGGACAACAGACGGAAACGACUGCUAAUACCGAAUACGUUCCUUAAGUCGCAUGACUUUAGGAAGAAAGGGUGGCCUCUACUUGUAAGCUAUCGCCUGGAGAGGGGUUUGCGUCUGAUUAGGUAGUUGGUGAGGUAACGGCCCACCAAGCCGACGAUCAGUAGCCGGUCUGAGAGGAUGAACGGCCACACUGGAACUGAGACACGGUCCAGACUCC